rnacentral:tRNA from 1 species
GGGGAUUUAGCUCAGUGGUAGAGCGCUUGCCUAGGAAGCGCAAGGCGCAAGCGCAAGGCCCUGGGUUCGGUCCCCAGCUCCG